rnacentral:misc_RNA from 1 species
GAAAUGCGAUAAGUAAUGUGAAUUGCAGAAUUCAGUGAAUCAUCGAAUCUUUGAACGCACCUUGCGCCCUUUGGCUAUUCCGAAGGGCAUACCUGUUUGAGUAUCAUGAACACCUCAACUCUCAUGGUUUGCCAUGAUGAGCUUGGACUUCUGGGGGUUUUGCUGGCUUACCGUCAGCUCCUCUCAAAUGAAUCAGCUUGCCAGUGUUUGGUGGCAUCACGGGUGUGAUAACUAUCUACGCUUGUGGUUUUCUGCCAGGUAGCCUUCAGUGAUGGAGGUUCGCUGGAGCUCAUAAACGUCUCUCCUCAGCGAAGACAGUUUCGUGAACGUUUGAUCUCAAAUCAGGUAGGACUACCCGCUGAACUUAA